rnacentral:rRNA from 1 species
GAUGAACGCUGGCGGCGUGCCUAAUACAUGCAAGUCGAGCGAACAGACGAGGAGCUUGCUCCUCUGACGUUAGCGGCGGACGGGUGAGUAACACGUCGAUAACCUACCUAUAAGACUGGGAUAACUUCGGGAAACCGGAGCUAAUACCGGAUAAUAUAUUGAACCGCAUGGUUCAAUAGUGAAAGACGGUUUUGCUGUCACUUAUAGAUGGAUCCGCGCCGCAUUAGCUAGUUGGUAAGGUAACGGCUUACCAAGGCAACGAUGCGUAGCCGACCUGAGAGGGUGAUCGGCCACACUGGAACUGAGACACGGUCCAGACUCCUACGGGAGGCAGCAGUAGGGAAUCUUCCGCAAUGGGCGAAAGCCUGACGGAGCAACGCCGCGUGAGUGAUGAAGGUCUUCGGAUCGUAAAACUCUGUUAUUAGGGAAGAACAAAUGUGUAAGUAACUAUGCACGUCUUGACGGUACCUAAUCAGAAAGCCACGGCUAACUACGUG